UUCCUGGAAAAGGACAGCUGAGAGGGUGAAACUCCCGUCCGCCUGGUAGAAUGAGUCUUUGUCAACGAGUCGAGUUGUUUGGGAUUGCAGCUCUAAUUUGGUGGUAAAUUCCAUCUAAAGCUAAAUAUUGGUGGGAGACCGAUAGCGUACAAGUACCGUGAGGGAAAGAUGCAAAGAACUUUGAAAAGAGAGUUAAAGAGUACCUGAAAUUGCUGAAACGGAAGCGAAGGAAACCAGUGUUUGUUGGUUCAUAUUUCCUUGGCCACUUGUGGUUUGGGCG
rnacentral:rRNA from 1 species